rnacentral:lncRNA from 1 species
UACCGAUAUGUCAUGAAGAAUGCAGGUAACUAUGGCUUCUAUGAGCUCUAUAGCGCCUGUUGUGGAUCAGGUGGUGGAACAUAUAACUUAAACAUUGUUGGACCAUGUGGCUCACUAAUCUCAACUUCAUGCGCAAACCCUUCUCAGUACAUCAAUUGGGAUGGAGUCCACCUCGCUGAAGCCAUGUACAAAGCAAUUUCUGACUUGUUCUUCACCAGAGAAUCUGUUCAACCUUCAUUUGAGUACUUGCUAAAGCCGGAAAACACAAUCUAUGAAUUGAUUGUGGGCUGGUCAGCUCCUCAAAAGCAUUCACUAUCAAUGUGAUCUCAAUGAACUACUCAUUCAAAAAUUAUGCGAUGUUGAAAGAUAUUAGUAUGGUAGACGUAAUUCUAAUAAUAAGAGGUUGGACCUCACACGCUUAUAUUUCGAGGACAAUGCUUACUUUUAAAUUUGAGGAUUUUCAAGUCAUCAACUGAGUGCAAAACAAAGAUGUUCGAGUAAAGAACAGAACAGAACAGAACAGAAACAGAACAUUUAAAGCAAAUUUUUGUGAAACAACAAAAGUUAAAGAGGUACAAGAUUGAUAACUUAAAGUUACUUAUCAAAUAAAAACAAAUUCCUAGGUUUAGCCAGGUUUUGUUUGGCUAUUUAUAUAACUAGAAGGCUUGAUGUACGGUCACCAGUGAAGGUAAAGUCUAAAUUAUAGGUUAACCAGAUUUAGAACAUGUUACUAUUUUAGUGGGGGUAUAUAAAGCACAUAAUUUUACAAAAGAAUUGGGUUGAAAGACAAAAAAAAAGAAAAAGAAAGGGUUGAAAGACAAAAAACAAAAUUAUUUGAUGAGAUUUUUACAUAGACAAUAAAUGCAGCCUUGCAAGAAUUAUUCAUCAACUAAUUGUCUUCCCAGCCUCCGAUUUGUAAAAAACUAAACCACAAGGACCAAAAAAAAAACUAGGACAAAACUUUCUCAAUAAGAGAGACAAUGAGUAAGCAUAUAAAUAUAAAGAGUUAAAGACCGACCUAGAAAAUAAUUAUGUGGAAGAGAUUUAAAUAACUCGGAAGGAAACAUGUACAUGAGCAAUCAAUCCACGGGAGUAAAAGCAACAAUCUGGGUACCAAGUUAUUAUAGACCAAUUUCAUUUGAAUACAAGCACCAACCAAAUAGAAGCUGCCAUGAAAACACGUUUGCAUUAAAUAAGUACCUCAAGUAACUAGCCCAUAUAAGAGUCUGCAUUAUCACGAACCAUAAAAUCCCGGAUUAACUCCAUAACUUGUUUUUUUAGCAUGUAAACUGGCUCAAGAACUUGUGCUACCCAGUUCAUCAGGAAAAAAAUAAACAGGACUGCAUACAAUUUGGGGAUUUUAUUUGUUAAACUUUUUGUAUAGUUUAAUUUAAAGGGGGGGUAAGGAGCACAAGUGAACCUUCAAUUCUCUGUAUGUUUGAACUUCAAACAGAUACACUUACUAAAAAAAUUAAUUAAACAAGGCCUCAAUUGAAUUAUAUUGUCAAACCAAAUUCUUCAUAAAUUCCUUUAAUUUUUCUCACAAACUCUCUUCAAAUACUUUUAGCAUUAAAAGAAAUACACACUUACAAUAAAUUGGCAUGCUGUAUAUCAGGCUCAAGGAGCUUCACGGAUUAUUAGCGAUACCUGGAAUUUGCAAGGUGAUGAAAAUCCAUACUCAACCGUCCUCAAACUCAAACUCAAUUUGGU